rnacentral:lncRNA from 1 species
CAGGACCUCGAUCGGCCGAGAUGGCGACGCCGAACGGGCUUGCGCGGAUCGAGACGACCGGGAAGAAGAAGCAGGACAACGGCGUGUGGUACGACGACAGCUCGGCGCCGGUGCGCGCGCAGACCAUCGACGAGCUGCACUCGCUGCAGCGGAAGCGGUCGGCGCCCAGCACGCCCAAGCGGUCGGCGCCCACCACGCCCAUCAAGGGCGGUGCCCACUCGCCCUUCGCCGUCGCGAUCUCCGAGGAGGAGCGCCACACGCAGCAGAUGCAGUCCAUCAGGUGACGUUCGUCCUUUCUCGGCUAGCAGCCGCCUUAUUGAUUCUGCCGCCACUAGGCACUAUAGCUAAGUAGCUAGCCUGCCGCUAUAAACGAAUUGGUGAAAACGAUUUCUCGAUUUGGUUGGGUUUGGUUCAUUACUGAAUAAUAAUAGCUUAACGACAAUGGCCACCAACCCAGGAACAUGAAAGGUAAGCGGAGAUGAGUUCCUUUACCAUUUUGGGAAAGGAAAAAAAAAGACAAAAUAAUUUGGCGUCUGCAGGACUUCCUCUGGGAGAAGAAGGAACGGAACAAAACCAGAGAGCUCUGCCACCGACGUCAGAGCCCGGCCCGUUUACGUUGACAAUACACUGCCUCGUGGGCCCUCUUGAGAUAGCACUUGGUGUGAGUUGUGGACUUCAUUAGAAAAAAAAAGUAAAAGGAUGGAGAAGAUAGAAAUAGGUAAAAACAAAAGGGUGACGCACGAAACGAACAAGCAUGCACGCAGCUUGACGCGACACCACGGUCGCCGUCGGCCACGCAACGUGCUGCUUUAUCUCUGCAGGGAACCUAGUAAUCCUUCCCGAAAAUCUGUACGUCCUUCGGGGGUCGGCUGUGUCCUCCCGGUCUCGCGCAUCACUAACCAUUUUUGGUGCUGAUAAUCGGGAGCGUAGCGUAAUUACCACUAAACUUUUUUUUCCC